UAUAUAAAGUAAAACGAACGGCAACUCAUUAAAAACGUUGGUUAACGCCAGUUGUCAGUGCAGUGACAUGGGUGCAACACCCAGGCGCAGAAAGGGUCAGCCGCUAGGACUUUACGGCUACACCUCAUUUUCACCUACCCACAGCUUUGGUGAGCGCUGCAACCCAUGUCAAAAUGUUUAGCUUGUUUUAUAGCGCUAAGGGCAAUUGCUAAUAUGUGUGUAUGUAUAUAUACACCUUAACUGUUUCACCUGUGGGGAAUUGCUUGUCACCUGGAUACGCCACGGAAACGAAUCGCAACAUUCAAUUUCUGUUUUAUUUUAUUAUUACAUUCAGCGCGAUCCCUCUCACAUCUCCCUGGCUGUUCGUCUACCUUUAUGCGGGCAGCAAUUUUGUGCCGCCUUUUUAGCAGGGUUUCUUUUUAUUUAUAUUCGAUUUUUUUCUGUUUUUACUGUAGGCAUGCUGCUGUUGCUUUUCUUAUCAGCUUUCUUUCAUUUAUGCUACGCUGCAUUUUGGGUCGUUCUGAGCGCGACUUUGGGCCCUCCGUCCGUUGUAAUACGGUGGCAUAUAACACUUAAGUGCUUGUUGUUGUUUUAUAAGAUAAACUUUUGCGAGGCCCACAUGUCUGGCCAGCAGCAACAGCAACAGCAACAGCAACAAAGAGGCAAAAGAAUAAUAACGUGAUGCCAAUUUCAUUUACUGCCACUUUCAUUAACCGAAAAGAAGGUACAGGGAAA